AAGGCGCUUGAGAGAACUCGGGUGAAGGAACUCGGCAAAAUUGUACCGUAACUUCGGGAGAAGGUACGCCUCUGUUUGUGAACACUUCGCGUGGUAAGCAAAUGGAGGCCGCAGUGACCAGGUGGCUGGGACUGUUUAUUAAAAACACAGCACUCUGCAAACUCGUAAGAGGACGUAUAGGGUGUGACACCUGCCCGGUGCCGGAAGGUUAAUUGAUGGGGUUAGUUUUCGGACGAAGCUCUUGAUCGAAGCCCCGGUAAACGGCGGCCGUAACAAUAACGGUCCUAAGGUAGCGAAAUUCCUUGUCGGGUAAGUUCCGACCUGCACGAAUGGCGUAACGAUCUGGGCACUGUCUCAACGAGAGACUCGGUGAAAUUGUAGUAGCGGUGAAGAUGCCGCUUACUCGCAACGGGACGAAAAGACCCCGUGAACCUUUACUAUAGCUUUGCACUGGACUUUGAGCUUGCUUGUGUAGGAUAGGUGGGAGGCUUUGAAGUGGGGACGCCAGUUCUCAUGGAGCCAUCCUUGAAAUACCACCCUGGCAACCUUGAGGUUCUAACUCUGGUCCGUUAUCCGGAUCGAGGACAGUGUAUGGUGGGUAGUUUGACUGGGGCGGUCUCCUCCCAAAUAGUAACGGAGGAGCACGAAGGUUAGCUAAUCACGGUCGGACAUCGUGAGGUUAGUGCAAUGGCAUAAGCUAGCUUAACUGCGAGACAGACACGUCGAGCAGGUACGAAAGUAGGUCAUAGUGAUCCGGUGGUUCUGUAUGGAAGGGCCAUCGCUCAACGGAUAAAAGGUACUCCGGGGAUAACAGGCUGAUACCGCCCAAGAGUUCAUAUCGACGGCGGUGUUUGGCACCUCGAUGUCGGCUCAUCACAUCCUGGGGCUGAAGUCGGUCCCAAGGGUAUGGCUGUUCGCCAUUUAAAGUGGUACGCGAGCUGGGUUUAGAACGUCGUGAGACAGUUCGGUCCCUAUCUGCCGUGGGUGUAGGAUACUUGAGAGGAGUUGCCCCUAGUACGAGAGGACCGGGGUGAACGAUCCACUGGUGGACCUGUUGUUGCGCCAGCAGCAGUGCAGGGUAGCUAUGAUCGGACAGGAUAACCGCUGAAGGCAUCUAAGCGGGAAGCCCCCCUCAAAACAAGGUAUCCCUGAGGACCGUGGUAGACCACCACGUCGAUAGGCCGGAGAUGUAAGUGCAGCAAUGCAUUCAGU
rnacentral:rRNA from 1 species